UACGAAGGGGGCUAGCGUUGUUCGGAUUUACUGGGCGUAAAGCGCACGUAGGCGGAUCGUUAAGUCGGGGGUGAAAUCCUGGAGCUCAACUCCAGAACUGCCUUCGAUACUGGCGAUCUCGAGUCCGGAAGAGGUGAGUGGAACUCCUAGUGUAGAGGUGGAAUUCGUAGAUAUUAGGAAGAACACCAGUGGCGAAGGCGACUCACUGGUCCGGUACUGACGCUGAGGUGCGAAAGCGUGGGGAGCGAACAGG
rnacentral:rRNA from 1 species